CAGGUGGAGGAGGGGGAGGAGGUGGCCCUGCAGUUGGAGGAGGUGGCCCUGCAGGUGGAGGAGGUGGCCCUGCAGGUGGAGGAGGUGGCCCUGCAGGUGGAGGAGGUGGAGGAGGUGGCCCUGCAGGUGGAGGAGGGGGCCCUGCAGGUGGAGGAGGGGGCCCUGCAGGUGGAGGAGGGGGCCCUGCAGGUGGAGGAGGGGGCCCUGCAGGUGGAGGAGGGGGCCCUGCAGGUAGAGGAGGUGGCCCACCCGGACACGGAAGGACCAGCGGUCUCUACUGUGCAGAGGAAGCGGAGGAGAAAAGAGCAUCACAGCCAGAAGGGGCUUGAAAAAAGGAACAAGACUUUACCGAAGAAUUGCCCCUACCAUAUUGGUCGUGACUCCUUCGAAAUAAGGAGUUACGGGAAGGAGAGGAUGAGAAAGGUUUGACAGACCCAUAAAGACCCAGCAAAAACACAUGCGUGAUUAACUGUAGGAAUGACAUUCUCGCUGAUUGAUCAUGAGCAUGCAUAUUAAGUGCAUACUGUAAAUGUAAU
rnacentral:lncRNA from 1 species